GCCGGUGUGAUGGAAUUGGCAGACAUAGUUGACUCAAAAUCAUCUGAUAUAUUUAUCGUGUGGGUUCGAGUCCCGCCACCGGCA
rnacentral:tRNA from 1 species